UAAGAGGCUAUUGUAAUAUUGCAGGUAGGAGAUCAUGAGCCUCGGUGGCUUGAGUGGACAUGGAAAGAGGAAAUGUGUAAUGUGAAGUUAACCUCAAUGUGAUGUGCCAAGGGCAUGUGAAAUCACAAGGAGAAAGUGCAGUAUUUACUGAGUGAGCAGCUAUUCCAGUCAAUGAGAAGGGAAAUUACUUAUCAUCAAACUUAAUGCAUGAAGAGGCAGGGGAUUCUAGGAAGAUGGACGUUUCUGCAUUCUUGCUACUCUCAACUCCAUUCCAACUCAUCUGUCUCUCCUCAGCCAGUGACUCCUGAGGGCAGUGUCAGACAUUUCAGCUAGUGCCUCUGUACUCUGAAAAAUACCUGGAAAGGACACACCAGAAAGAAGAAGCCACUGAACAGGAAAAGGCCAUGAGAGAUGAGAAGAUGAUCAACGGAAGAGGAUAUAGGAUGAAGAUACACAAGUUCGGGUGGGGAGGAGAUGAAGAAAAAGAAGAGGAUAAUUGGAAGGAAAUAUCUUUCUCUACCCCUGACCAAAUUGACUGGUUUGAGUUUGUUGCCUGACGUAAGCAGCAUCAAUGGGCCCAAGGCUGUGGUACAUAAAGCCCACAAACUAUGUGGAUCACGGUAUUCAUCCAGAUUGGAGAAGAAUAAGGCUGCCAUUUUAGGCCAAAAGGGAGGAGAAUAAGUACCUACAACUACCUGAAGUUAACUCAGUUGUUUAUUUACUGCCUGUCUCACCUAUUAGAAUAUACAUUCCACUGAGCAGUGACUUCAUCCUGUUCAAUCACCUUUGAUCUUCACUGCCAAGAAUAAAACUGAAGUGGUCUUGAGGAGAGUCAAAUGAAGACCUAUUUCUCAAACGACUAAAACCAACUCAAGGUGCCUAUUCCAAAUGAAGUAAACAUGUGCCUGUCUGGGCCGUUGAAGAAUGAGAGGUUUGUGAAGCAAAGCUGAGAUGCUUCAGUCUUCCAACCAUGGACAUCGUCAGUCAGCUGACAGCCAGCUAACCCCAGACAUGAGAAUGAGCCCAGCCAAGAUCAGUAGCACCACCGAAGCCACUAACAGUCAACCACAGAGGAACAUUUGGCUAAUAAGAUUAUACCAGAUCAUCCACCAAUGUGCCAUCCUAACUAUGUAAAUGACAGAGAUCUGAAGAUCAUUUUGUUUUCUAUAUGACAAAGUGAAAGUUAUUUACCUCUAUACUAAACAUGUACUGGAAUUGAUAUCAUUAAAUUUUGCCUUA
rnacentral:lncRNA from 1 species